rnacentral:rRNA from 1 species
AGAGUUUGAUCCUGGCUCAGAAUGAACGCUGGCGGCACGCUUAACACAUGCAAGUCGAACGAGAUCUUCGGAUUUAGUGGCGGACGGGUGAGUAACGCGUGGGAACCUGCCCUUUAGUAGAGAACAACUUGAGGAAACUUAAGCUAAUACUUUAUACGCCCUUCGGGGGAAAGCUUUAUGCGCUAUUGGAUGGGCCCGCGUUAGAUUAGUUUGUUGGUGAGGUAACGGCUCACCAAGACUGCGAUCUAUAGCUGGUCUGAGAGGAUGAUCAGCCACACUGGGACUGAGACACGGCCCAGACUCCUACGGGAGGCAGCAGUGGGGAAUAUUGGACAAUGGGGGCAACCCUGAUCCAGCGAUGCCGCGUGAGUGAUGAAGGCCCUAGGGUUGUAAAACUCUUUCGUCAGGGAAGAUAAUGACGGUACCUGAAGAAGAAGAUCCGGCUAACUCCGUGCCAGCAGCCGCGGUAAUACGAAGGGACCUAGCGUAGUUCGGAAUUACUGGGCUUAAAGAGUUCGUAGGUGGUUAAAAAAGUUGGUGGUGAAAUCCCAGAGCUUAACUCUGGAACUGCCAUCAAAACUUUUUAGCUAGAGUAUGAUAGAGGAAAGCAGAAUUUCUAGUGUAGAGGUGAAAUUCGUAGAUAUUAGAAAGAAUACCGAUUGCGAAGGCAGCUUUCUGGAUCAUUACUGACACUGAGGAACGAAAGCAUGGGUAGCGAAGAGGAUUAGAUACCCUCGUAGUCCAUGCCGUAAACGAUGUGUGUUAGACGUUGGAAAUUUAUUUUCAGUGUCGCAGCGAAAGCGAUAAACACACCGCCUGGGGAGUACGACCGCAAGGUUAAAACUCAAAUGAAUUGACGGGGACCCGCACAAGUAGUGGAGCAUGUGGUUUAAUUCGAAGAUACGCGCAGAACCUUACCAACACUUGACAUGUUCGUCGCGACUCUAAGAGAUUAGAGUUUUCGGUUCGGCCGGACGAAACACAGGUGCUGCAUGGCUGUCGUCAGCUCGUGUCGUGAGAUGUUGGGUUAAGUCCCGCAACGAGCGCAACCCUUACUUUUAGUUGCCAUCAUUUAGUUGGGCACUCUGAAAGAACUGCCAGUGAUAAGCUGGAGGAAGGUGGGGAUGACGUCAAGUCCUCAUGGCCCUUAUGUGUUGGGCUACACACGUGCUACAAUGGUAUCUACAACAGGAAGCAAGAUGGCAACAUUAAGCAAAUCCCAAAAAGAUACCUCAGUUCGGAUUGCACUCUGCAACUCGAGUGCAUGAAGCUGGAAUUACUAGUAAUCGUGGAUCAGCGUGCCACGGUGAAUACGUUCCCGGGUCUUGUACACACCGCCCGUCACACCAUGGGAGUUGGUUCUACCUUAAGGCAAGGUUUCAAACCCUUGACCACGGUAUAGUCAGCGACUGGGGUGAAGUCGUAACAAGGUAACC